GGGCCACUAUACCUGUGUGUGUGUGUGUGUGUGUGUGUGUAUAUAUAUAUAUGUAUGUAUAUAUAUAUAUAUAUAUAUAUAUAUAUAUAUAUAUAUAUAUAUAUAUAUAUAUACACACACAGGUAUAGUGGCCC